UACUCCUUGCAAUAACGAUACAUAACAUAAACAUUUUGUCAAUACGUAAUUCAUAUGAACAAAUAUAUGUAUAAACAUUUUUAACAGUAUCUCAUGUUGAAGAAAUUUCGUUUACCAGCCUAAGUUAACGUUAUAAAGGUAGGCCAACUAUCCUAUGUAUUCCAAUAUUACGAAGAUAUUCAAAAGCUCUCUUUGUAUUGAAGAGAUGCAGUAAUAUUUUAGGAUUACUUGAGCACUUAUUUGUAUCGGAUAGGUUUGAUUUUAUGUGAUAAAUUAUUAAGAGAGGGUUUCUUAUUACAUUUGGAUUUGUGGUAAAAUAAGAAGAAAUAAAAGAGUGUUUCAAAUAAGUGUAUUAUAACAAACGGUUGAAAGAAAAUUGAACGUGACCAGAAUAGAUAUAAGAAUGAUUUAGAUAGCGUGUGUUACCUUUCAAUGAAGAUUAACAGAUUUAGAGUCUAUAUUAGCAUAAAUAAUAUAAGAUAGUCUACAUAACAGCUGGUUGAAACGCGUCUUUAA